CAAAAUAAUUGAUUAAUAAUAUUAUAUGCUUCACAAUUUUGACAACUUACAACUGAUAUCAAGUAGAAUGAUGCUGCUUUUGUUAGCCAAUUUUUCUACAAAUUAUAAUAUAAGGUAAAAAAAUUGAUGCUCAACUUAUCUGAUCCUCAAACAUUGAGUCAAGUAAUUCAUUUUGUUGUGAGGUGUGACAAAUGACGUUU
rnacentral:lncRNA from 1 species